GCGCGGACCCACCCCAAGAGAGCAGAGAGAAGAAAGCAUAGGUCAAAGAGGAGAUCGCGAGAGCAGAGAGCGGAGAGCAUAGGUCAAAGAGGAGAUCGCGUGAGCGAGAGAGCGUGGAAGCCUCAUAGCACAGAGAGAGAGCUGUCGGGAAUCCGUUGUCAGACGUCAAGUUGUGCAGUUUUGUCGCGUUUUGUCGUAGUUGAAGAAGCCGUUGAAAUAUGUUCAAGGGACACUUAAUUUAACUAAUACUCAUACUUAAAUAACCUAAUAAACUAUUCUUUAAAUAAACU
rnacentral:lncRNA from 1 species